CCCUCCACUUUGUAUUUUAUUUGACUAGAGGAGGCCAUGCAGGGACAGACGUGGCCAGUUUAAGCAUACUGUUACAUUCCUCUGAGCCUUAGUCUUGUCACUUCUAAGGCGUCACAGACAAGUCACUGAGGGACCACACACGUGGUCGCUGACUUUAGAAGGACCUGGCAUCCCUGUGGGAGAAGCUUGCCUGCCGUUCACUGUGGUAAGAUGGACACACAUGGCCUCCUGACACAACUAUUCACAGGGCUUGCUUGGGCUCAGUCAUCAGGCUUUGGGGUUGGUUACCUCUGGGAUGAAUGAUAGAAUGACAGAGUCUGUCGAUCUAGGUCUCUUGGGGACAACCCCUUUUGGGGUCCUUCUGCAUAUGUUAUUGAUUCAUUGCCUCUCGUUUUCAAAUUUACCCUUUUUAUUUUUCUUGUGCUCUCUGCCAAGUGCAGUUGGGUUCUCUAUGGUUUUUCUUUAUGCAUCGUUUGAGUUUACCAGUAGAGGGUGCUACAGAGACAUUAUAGGAGAAGGGUUUUCUUGCAGUUCUCAGCCACUUCGCCACUUCUCUUUUUGCUGGGGAUUUAAGGAUUACACCCAGGGUUCCUGCACCGUGAGUACCUUUGGAGCAUUUGGCUCCCAUAGGUUCAAGGCUUCUCUUACUAAUGCUCCCUGAGUCACUUUUCAGGAAACCAACCAACCUCCUGCAGUUGCAGUGUAUUCAGAGUCCAGCUCCAGCAGAGAGAGAGAGAGAGAACAACAACUGGGCUGGCUACUUUCCCAGAAACCCUUGGGAAACUUUUACAGCACAUCUCUCUAUUGAGACCUCUCUCUUUGGGGAGCUUCCCUGAGAAGCUACAACUUCCAGCAAGUCCUACUGGUACGCUUCUUGUCUAGGAGGAGGUUGGGCAAUUGUGGAGUUCAGCAUCAAAGAGUCAUGACCACCCAUGAGACCUAAAGGGAAAAAAUAAAGUAUGGAAUCAUGAUGUGGAUCCAUUUGGCUUAAAAAGAACUGUCUUUUUAGUUGACCACACUGCUUCUUUAGCUAUGAUUUGUCUUUAUCACUGUGAAAUGGCACAACACUCAGACUUGCUUUAGAGUUCUGCUUGCUGCUUCCCACUACUUUGUGGAAGCAGGACUGUGGUCUUUUUCUGAAUGCAAUUAUUUUCCAUUUAUUCAUAUGCAGAUUAUACCCAAGAACAAUGCAUCAUUUGCUGCAUUGUGAGCCUGUUUUUGUGUCUUGAUGCUCUACUUGCAGUGAGUUUAUUGUCUCUAUAGUUCUCUUUCCUAGUUAGCCAAGCUCAGAUCAUGACAGGCUAAAGUUUGGUGAUGGUUUUUCUGUCUUAAAGCAGAAUUAUGACUUUUACCAUAAUGCCAUCCAAGCCAUCUUAUACUUUAUCCAUCAGACUGGGUGAGAAUAAAGAAGGGAUUGAGGCACAUAAGUAGAUGUGCCUAACCACCGAGCCUUUGUGUCCCUGGCCCACUUCUCACCCCAGAAAGGCUCUGAGGAGAGGAGAGGGGAGGGGAAAGGAGGGAAGGAGAAAAGAGAAG